rnacentral:rRNA from 1 species
GACGAACGCUGGCGGCGUGCUUAACACAUGCAAGUCGAACGGAAAGGCCCUGCUUGCCGGGUACUCGAGUGGCGAACGGGUGAGUAACACGUGGGUGAUCUGCCCUGCACUUCGGGAUAAGCCUGGUAAACUGGGUCUAAUACCGGAUAGGAGCCAUUUUUAGUGUGAUGGUUGGAAAGUUUUUUCGGUGUAGGAUGAGCUCGCGGCCUAUCAGCUUGUUGGUGGGGUAAUGGCCUACCAAGGCGGCGACGGGUAGCCGGCCUGAGAGGGUGGACGGCCACAUUGGGACUGAGAGACGGCCCAGACUCCUACGGGAGGCAGCAGGGGGGAAUAUUGCACAAUGGGCGCAAGCCUGAUGCAGCGACGCCGCGUGGGGGAUGACGGCCUUCGGGUUGUAAACUCCUUUCGCUAGGGACGAAGCUUUUUGUGACGGUACCUAGAUAAGAAGCACCGGCUAACUACGUG